CUUAAAGAGUGCUAAAUAGUAAUGCUCUCCUUCAACUCAUUUUCAGCUCAUAUAAGUUUUUUUUCCUCAAGUUCUGUUUAUUGUAGCCUGAGGCUAAAAAUAUUUUCUAAAAGAUCUAAAGGAAAUGUUUUCUUCCAACAUAAUAUUCUGUGCAGUGCAGAAAGUCUUUUCUUUUUCAUUUUGGCCUAACAGAUUUUAUGGUUUAUCAAAACAAUUCCUAUGCCAUUAAGUUUUGGCUCACUUAGGAGAAAAGCUGAGAUGAUUUUUUUUAAUUAAGGUUAUUACCUCCGUGUAUCUUUCUGUAUGUUCUUUUAAAGUACUUGUGACAUUGAGUUACAGGGCUUUGACUCCCGGGCCUAAAAAUGACAUCAAGUCCUGCUAAAUAUUAAACACUGACAGCAACUAAAGCCUCUUCUUCAGGCCCAGUAGAAGAUGCCAAUCAAAAUAAACUGCAUUCCUGAAACAUAGGGCCAGAAAUUAAAGUUAUUCAACUCCUCAAGGCCCAGGGACUAUUGCAAAAGAGGUGGGCAUGUGAGAUUGUAAGGGCCGAUUUAGUUUCUCUAUAAAUUAAUCAUUAACACCAAAAGCACACUGAAGCAACAUCAGCAUAUGGGCCCCUGUGUCAGAUUAACAAAGUUUUCUUGAAGCAGUAACCAACUUCUUAAUAAAGGAUACAAAGUUUAUAAAAGGCUUAUGGAAGUUAUAUUGUAACUGCCCAAUGGGUUCACCUUGCCCACUGCCUAGACAGAGCCAAUUUAUCAAGAUGGGAAUUGCAAUAGAGAAACAGUAAUUCAUGCAGAGCCAGCUGUGUGGGAGACUGAAGUUUUAUGAUUACUUAAGUCAGUCUCUCCAAGUAUUUGUGGAGCAGAAUUUUUAAGGAUAAUUUGGUGAAUAUGGGGGAGGCCAAUAAAUUAAAAGUGCUGAGGGGUUGGGUUGGAAAUGAAAUCAUGGAAAGUUGACGCUGUCCUCUUGCACUGAGUCAGUUCCUGGGUGGGGGCCCCACGAUCAGAUUCACCAGUUUAUCAAUCUGUGUGGUGCCAACUGAUCCAUCAAGUUCAGGUCUGUAAAAUAUCUCAAGCACUGAUCUUAGGAGGAGUUUAGGGAGGGUCAGAACUUCCAGCCUCCAGCUGCAUGGCUCCUAAACCAUAAUUUCUAAUCUUGUGGCUAAUUUGUUAGUCCCAUAAAGGCAGUCUAUUCCCCAGGCAAAAAGGAGGUUCAUUUUGGGAAAGGACUGCUAUCAUCUUUCUUUUAAACUAUAAACUAUGAACUAAGUUCUUCCCAAAGUUAGCUCAGCCUAUGCUCAGGAAGGAACAAGGACAGCUUAAAGGUUAGAAGCAAGAUGGAGUCAGUUAGGAUAGAUCUCUUUCACUGUGUCAGUCAUAAUUUUGCAAAGGUAGUUUCAAUAUCUUAUGGUCAAGAUUAAAAUUUUAUAGAUUGUUUAUAAAAUUUUGAAAAACAAAUUUAAUUGGCUUUAUGCUGUCUUUAUUGGGGCUUAUUGUAUAGAAAAUUAAGUCUCCUCUCAAAGAAUGAAGAUUUUUGCCUUUUUUUUUUUAAAUCCUCGAGUUAUGACUUUGGUCAAAUGAAUAACUUAUUUUAUAAUGACCUGUGAUAUCAAGUGUUUUAAACCUUUGAUAUUUGAUAACCUUUCAAAAAUCAAAUUAGAAAUUGUGUCUUUUUCUGAUCUAGUUAAUCAUUUAAGAUAUUAGUUUCCCUAAAUUCAAAACAUGACAUAAUUUGGCUUAUUUGGUAUAAAAUUAUACAGUAAGCACUGUCAAAUAUGAAAUGGUGUUUGGUUUUCUUUGGGUUGUAUUUGUAUAAAUGUAUUAUUGAUAUGUGUUCCAAAAUCAUGGGAAACACCUAUAAUCCUGUAAUCCUGAUAUGACUUAGUGUACAUCAUCAGUAAUAAUUAUAACUAUUAUGUUAAAUUAUUAUGUGCCACAGAGGUAACAAAUUUUCUGGUCAGUUUUGUCUUUGACUAUGCCUGCCCUAAAACAUUUUGUCAUCCAUGGACAAUUGGUGCCUUGUUUGGUCCUCCUUAGAAGGUGGUUUCAUAAUCAGUUAUAAAACUCUAAUAGGUGCUUUUGAAUGCAGAUUUCUGAUAACUUUGAGAGGGAAAACUUUCAGGACUCAUGGGGAGCUGAAAUGUUCAUGAAUAUUAAGCAGAACAGGAAUUUACUACAGAGACUGAACUAACAGAAAACUGAAGUAUCUUUUUAUAUUUUUGCUUAAAAUGUUGCUGACCCUCUGUUUUUUUUUUUUUUCAGAGUCAAGGAAACUUUUAUUUUGAGCUAUUGUAAGGUUUCAACAAUUUAGUAUACUCCUAUGAAGAAAAUUUGGAGCGUAUUUGUUUCUCUUUACCUGAUUUCUCCAGAAUUUGGAAACUAUUUGCGAGUAGUCUUAACUUACAGCAAUAUGGCUAUUUGCAUAAGUGCAAAUAAAAAUCUGUUAUAAUUUGUAACAGGACACAAUGGGAGAAACUGGUUAUUUUACCAAGGCUUUCACUGGAAUGAUGUGCUUUCCUUUAAGAAAUCAAACUUAACUUAUGGAGCCAAUAAAAACCCAUUGGGAAAACUGGCCUCAUACCUUGUUUACACAGCCCAUGUACAGGGUUCGUGACCUGGGGUGACUUUAACUCCAAUGUCUACCCUCAUAAAUUGAACAUUAUUGAAGGCCCACUUUCCAGUGUCAUGAGAAGGGAAGCACGAUCAUGAAAUGAGCAAAGAAGGCCAGAUAAUCUUUAGAGGUCCUACAAUCCAUAUUCCCAUAAUUGGCAUCUUUUUUGAAGAAAGUCAAUGAAAGAAAAGAAAAGUACAUAUUAAUUAUUUA
rnacentral:lncRNA from 1 species